rnacentral:rRNA from 3 species
GGUUGACCUCGGAUCAGGUAGGGAUACCCGCUGAACUUAAGCAUAUCAAUAAAGCGGAGGA